rnacentral:piRNA from 1 species
UAGUCUGUUGUUGGCACCACAUCUCGGUUGU